rnacentral:lncRNA from 1 species
UUUAAUUUUUAUUUUUUUCUUCUCUCUCUCCCCCUCUCUCACGACAGAUCUCAUCUCAUCUCCUUCUCUGCUUUUUUUUCCGAUUCUCUCUUCUUCACUCUAACCUCUCAUUCUCAUAUCUCACAUCUCAUAUCUCUCUUCUCUCUCAUCUCUCUCAACGCCUCUCUCAUCUCUCCCAUCUCUCUCAACGCCUCUCUCAUCUUACCACCACCGUGUCUCCUCCUCGUCUCACCACCACCGUUUUCCCCCUUGUCUCACCACCACCAUGGUCUCUCUCUCUCUCUCUCUCUCUCUCUCUCUCUCUCUCUCUCUCUCUCUCUGUCA